UACGUAGGGUGCAGGCGUUAAUCGGAAUUACUGGGCGUAAAGCGUGCGCAGGCGGUUUGCUAAGACAGGUGUGAAAGUCCCCGGGCUUAACUGGGAACUGCGCUUGUUACUGGCAGGCUUGAGUGUGGCAGAGGGGGGUGGAAUUCCACGUGUAGCAGUGAAAUGGCGUAGAGAUGUGGAGGAACACCGAUGGCGAAGGCAGCCCCCUGGGCUAACACUGACGCUCGAUGCACGAAAGCGUGGGGAGCAAACAGG
rnacentral:rRNA from 1 species